CUUCUUUGGACAUUCUCCAGCACCCCAAGAUGAUUUCAGAUUGCCAGAGGCAAAAGCAUGGAAAAGAUCUGGUAUCCAUUAUAUUGGUGGCAGCAAGGAGGAGUCAAUGUCUCCUUCUGGCCCCUCUCCCCUGCCUAGGGAUGUGUUUCAUGGAGCCUGUCAGCAAAACAGAAUGGGUGGCUGUAUCUCUAUCUGUGCCCACUUCCCCAGAAAUUCAGCCAAAACAAGGGUCUUGGAGAGGUGGGAUGUGCAAGAGGCCCCUACACAUCCCCCAGAGGAGAUUCAUCAUCUCAGGACUCUUGCAAGGUGUAAUUAACACUGAUUUUCCUGGGCUGGUAAUGUUUCCAAAACUGAUUUCCAAACCUGCAAGCCCUUGUGCUGUAUGGGAUAAACCACAAAACAUCUAACCAUGUCCUCCCACCCCAUAAUUUCCUCAGGGUGUUACCUGCACAAACCACACCAGCAUCUUCACCAUGGUGGCAAUUGUUCUUCCCCCAGUCAUUCGCUCUGCAGUAGGAAAGCGCCACCUCCGUCCCCGUGCAGUUGACAUCGUCCAGCCAGAUGGGGCCAGACCCCAUCCUGAACUGGCCAGGUCUGCUGGUGGACAAGGCGAUGCCACAGUGCAGCUGACGGCACACCACGUUGGCAUCAUCCAGGUCCCAGUGGUCGUCGCACACCGUGCCCCACCUGUUGCUGUAGUACACCUCAACUCGGCCAGCACAACGGUGUGGUCCGUUCAGCAAGCGGAGGGGAACCCUCUGGGAUGCAACUGGUUCUGCACGGGAUGCAGAAACAGUCCCAUGCAGAAGAGCUGAGAAAGCCUACAUGACCUGUGCUAGCUUCAUAUGGCCUCUGCAAGUAGCUAUGGUUUAUGUGCACCACUCACAUGCUUCUCCUGUGGUAGGCAAACCCCCAAAAAAUCCAGAUCUAGGAGAAAAAAAUGCUCUGCAAAUCCCAUUUUCCCAGUAAAAGACAUUAAUCGUCAAAGGGACUUUGGAUAUUUUUAAUGGAUAUUCCCAAACAAAUUCAGAAACAAACAAAAAAAAGACCACACUGCAGUCUGGAUUGAAAACUCUGGACGUAGGGAUUGUCUCUCAGUUGGCUGUUGCAUUAGGCAAAGCAUCACCAGCAGGUCAAGAGGUGAUCCUUCCCCUCUACUCAGCACUGGGGACGCUGCACCUCGAGUGCUGGGUCCAGUGCUGGGCCCCCAGUCCAAGACAGACAUGGACAUGCUGGGGAGAGUCAAUGGAGGGACACCAAGGUGAUCAAGGGACCACCUCUCCUACGAAGAGAGGCUGAGAGCCUGGGGAAGAGAAGGCUCAGAGGGGAUCUUAUCGAUGCCCAUAAAUCCCUGAAGGAAGGGCGCGAUGAAGAUGGAGCCAGGCUCUUUUCAGGGGUGCCCAGGCACAG